AUGAACGCUAGCUACAGGCUUAACACAUGCAAGUCGAGGGGCAGCAUGGUCUUAGCUUGCUAAGGCCGAUGGCGACCGGCGCACGGGUGAGUAACACGUAUCCAACCUGCCGUCUACUCUUGGACAGCCUUCUGAAAGGAAGAUUAAUACAAGAUGGCAUCAUGAGUCCGCAUGUUCACAUGAUUAAAGGUAUUCCGGUAGACGAUGGGGAUGCGUUCCAUUAGAUAGUAGGCGGGGUAACGGCCCACCUAGUCUUCGAUGGAUAGGGGUUCUGAGAGGAAGGUCCCCCACAUUGGAACUGAGACACGGUCCAAACUCCUACGGGAGGCAGCAGUGAGGAAUAUUGGUCAAUGGGCGAGAGCCUGAACCAGCCAAGUAGCGUGAAGGAUGACUGCCCUAUGGGUUGUAAACUUCUUUUAUAAAGGAAUAAAGUCGGGUAUGGAUACCCGUUUGCAUGUACUUUAUGAAUAAGGAUCGGCUAACUCCGUGCCAGCAGCCGCGGUAAUACGGAGGAUUCGAGCGUUAUCCGGAUUUAUUGGGUUUAAAGGGAGCGUAGAUGGAUGUUUAAGUCAGUUGUGAAAGUUUGCGGCUCAACCGUAAAAUUGCAGUUGAUACUGGAUAUCUUGAGUGCAGUUGAGGCAGGCGGAAUUCGUGGUGUAGCGGUGAAAUGCUUAGAUAUCACGAAGAACUCCGAUUGCGAAGGCAGCCUGCUAAGCUGCAACUGACAUUGAGGCUCGAAAGUGUGGGUAUCAAACAGGAUUAGAUACCCUGGUAGUCCACACGGUAAACGAUGAAUACUCGCUGUUUGCGAUAUACGGCAAGCGGCCAAGCGAAAGCGUUAAGUAUUCCACCUGGGAAGUACGCCGGCAACGGUGAAUCUCAAAGAAAUUGGCGGGGGCUCGCACAAGCGGAGGAACAUGUGGUUUAAUUCGAUGAUACGCGAGGAACCUUACCCGGGCUUAAAUUGCAGAUGAAUUACGGUGAAAGCCGUAAGCCGCAAGGCAUCUGUGAAGGUGCUGCAUGGUUGUCGUCAGCUCGUGCCGUGAGGUGUCGGCUUAAGUGCCAUAACGAGCGCAACCCUUGUUGUCAGUUACUAACAGGUUCCGCUGAGGACUCUGACAAGACUGCCAUCGUAAGAUGUGAGGAAGGUGGGGAUGACGUCAAAUCAGCACGGCCCUUACGUCCGGGGCUACACACGUGUUACAAUGGGGGGUACAGAGGGCCGCUACCACGCGAGUGGAUGCCAAUCCCCAAAACCUCUCUCAGUUCGGACUGGAGUCUGCAACCCGACUCCACGAAGCUGGAUUCGCUAGUAAUCGCGCAUCAGCCACGGCGCGGUGAAUACGUUCCCGGGCCUUGUACACACCGCCCGUCAAGCCAUGGGAGCCGGGGGUACCUGAAGUGCGUAACCGCGAGGAGCGCCCUAGGGUAAAACUGGUGACUGGGGCU
rnacentral:rRNA from 1 species